AGUCCCUAGGCAGCCCCGGGCUGGAGCUUCAGGGCAAAGAAGUAAAAGAAUAACGUUCCUUGUCGCCCCAGCCCGGAUGGAGUCCCCGGCCUUAGAGUUUUGGAGCAGAGACCAGCUGGGCUGCGGGCAGCACCCACUGCUCCUGGGCUGAGCACUGGGCCGCAUCCAGCAGAUCCACCAGGGUUUGAAGUCAGGACGGGAAGGCCCUGCGUGGAGGCAGCAUCCCCGUGGGGGCUCCUUCGGGCCGCGCGGUGUGGGGGGAGAUCUUUGCCUCACCACCUCCUCCUUCAGAGCUGCGGCUCGGGGCCCGGAGAAGGUGUGAUAAUGGGAACCUGUCUUCAGUGGUUUCGUGAGCUGUUCUGGGUACAGCGUGAUGCCUACAGUGUCUGGCACACAGCCAGCUAUUCAGACUUUCACCCGACAUUUCCUGGGCACCUACUACGUGCUAGCCCCCGGGAAUAUGGAGAGGAAUGCGGCACGGACUGUCGUCCCCAGAAGGCCAUAGUGCAGUGAGUCUGUGUCCGAGGGACUGGAACCCGCACAGGGCGGUGUUGGUGCUGGGAGCUGAACGGUCCCUCUCGCUGUUCCCGUGGCCGUGAGCACUGGUUUCAGGCCUCAGAGACCCAAAGUCCAGGCCCAGCCCUGAUGCUUAACUGCGUGGACCUUAGCAAGCCAUGUGACCUCUUAGAACCUUGGUUUUCUCAUCUGUUCAAGAGGGAUAGCAAUGAGAGUUCACAGGGCUGGAUGCUUUUCAGAACAUUUGUUUUUCUUAAGCUUGACCUGAAAAUUGGACUUGCUCUUUGUCAAUGACAUGGCCACCUUCUGUCACUGCAAAAUAGUUCGUAUGGAAGGAAAAAGUAGAGGGAGCAACUGGGGAGAGUGGGGUUGGGGCCGGGGAGGGAGAGGGGGCGUGGUUCGCAGCCGGGAGGACCAUAAAGACUUUCAGUUCGGCAGCAGCAUUCCUUGCUGCCAGAAAAAGGAGUGGAAAGGAAAACACAUCUGGGAGAAAAUCCUGGCAGAGGAGGUGGGGAGCCCCUCUGUCAUCUGUGGAAUCGAGCACAGGAAACCCCACCCCAGGGCCUCCCUUUCAGAAGUGGCCCAGAGAGGGAACCACAAGAAGGUCCUAAAAUUAUGCCAUUCGGAAAUUCUGACUCAUCUGGCAGUGGGAGCUAUUUGUGCAACGUGCAAAAGGUCUCCCAAAAAGCAGAAUUUUUACUCUGCUUCCCCCACAUCUCUUCCCCGCAGCCAGCAUCUCCACCGCGCACAGAGAGGCAGGGGCCAAUUUAAUAAGCUAGGGAAACCAUUCUGGUCUGUUUCGCAUUUGUAGCUGGUUAGCUAGCUUCAACAGUGUUCGGUAGGAAUCUGAUUAUUUUGCAGACCUGAUUCUAGCUGUUUGUGCGCUCGGUCUCCACAGAAAGGUCAGAACGAAAGCUGGGCUACCUCCACUGCCAUCCAACCUCCUGCUGCUUGAAGGCAAGAGGGCAUCAGGGGGGACCCUGCCCAGAGUCCCAGGGCGGUCAUCGGUGUUCUGGAAAACUGUGUUCCCAUGUCUCUGUCCUAGACCGGCUUCCCCCUUAGUGAUGAAAUAAAUUAGCGCCGUUGGCUAACCGGAAAUGAAAACCUCACCCUGGGGUGGCCAUUGCUGGGGCGCCCCGUCAGAGAAGCCCAGAUCUGAGCUGGGGAUCUGGCUGUUGCCUUGGUCUGCUCUUGACUUUCCUCCCUCCCUCCCUCCCUCUUUUUCUUUCAUUCUUUCUUGCCAGCUCUCCAAGUGUCAGUCUGUCCCUUCCCACUCAGGUCCUACAAUGGGCUUCAAGGAUGAGCCCACGCACCUGCCUGGUUUGUGCACUCCCCUGGACCGGUGGCCCUCCGCGCCAGCAGCUGCCGCCCACCCAGUGACCGAGCAGGGGCACCCCUGCUGGAUGGCAAUGCGUCAUCUCAAGAACUAAGCCUGGGAACCAGAGUAACUCAGGAUUUCCCUCUAGACACACUGAUAGUGCUGCAGUGUAUCAGAAGCACAGGACUAGGUCCUGGGUGUUGGGUUCUGGCUCUUGUCAGCACUGUUCAUUAUCUGCGAGCCUCUGAGUUCCAAGUGAGCCAAUCAGAAAGGAUCGCCCCUGCCCCGGCUGGGUCUGGCGUGGCUCAGUGCGCUGGGCAUCGGCCCCCAAAGUGAAAGG